UUUAUGGAUCCAGACUUUUGAUUUGUAAAACACCGUGUCAGGGAGGCCGUCUAGUAACCCACUGGGCAGAUUCCGCAGAGAGCCUCCGUGGAAAGCUCUCGCACGCAGCCCAUGAACGGCUCCAGAGCAAAGGAGGGACCGUGAAGGAAGCGGGAGGUGAUGGGUACGGAGGUGGCCGUGGCCUGGGCCUUUAGUUAUGCUGGGCACCAACCUUCACGCUUGCAGUUGCGUGUUCUCCGGGCCUUCCUUGGAUUAUGUUCUAAAGAUGUGUUUUAACGGCUACCGUACAGAGCGAGAUGAGGGAGCAAUGGAGACUCAUCGUGACAGGCAAAGGGCACAGAGAAGCACUUGGCAAGAUGGCUCAGCAGGUAAAGGUACUUGCUGCCAAAUCUGACAACCUGGAUUGGGUCCUGGGACUCACACGGAGGAAGAAGUGAACAGGUGCCUCUGGAUGGUCCUCUCACCUUUACCACAUGCCUUGGCUGGCACAUGUCCAUCUACCAACCCAAAGUAUAAGUAGAAAGUGUAAAAAGAAUCACUUUCCUACACUCCAACUAAUAAAAAGGAUCCAGUGUUUUAGAAUG
ensembl:antisense 4930593C16Rik RIKEN cDNA 4930593C16 gene